CCGUCAAUUAUCUGUCCCACUUCUUAACUUGAGGUCAACAUUUCUUGCCUACAAGGCUUGGGAAGUGGAACAAGGGAAUGUUCUAGAUGCUGAAUCAAAUGACAUUGAUGGGAUUCCUUCUCAUGUUGCUUCUGCAUACCAAAAGGCCAUGGAAAUGUGUAAUGCUCGUGUUCAGCAUGAAGAACAAAUUUCUAAAGAGGAUAUAUCUGAAAUUGAAAAACUUCAAAAUUUCAUGAACUACUUAAAAUUUGAAAAGUCAGCAGGUGAUCCAGCCCGGGUUCAGGUUUUGUAUGAACGUGCUAUUACUGAAUUUCCUAUAUCAAAUGAUCUCUGGCUUGAUUAUACUCGCUAUUUGGACAGGAC
rnacentral:misc_RNA from 1 species